AUCAACGCUGGCGGCGUGCCUAACACAUGCAAAGUCGAACGAGGAGGAAAGUGGAGAGCAAUCCAUGAGUACAGUGGCGACCGGGUGAGUAAACACGUGGACUAACCUACCUCUUAGUGGGGAAUAACUCCGGGGAAACCGGAGCUAAUUAACCGCAUAACAUCGCAAGAUUCAAAGCCGAAAGGCGCUGGGAGAGGGGGGUUGCGGCUGAUUAGCUAGUUGGUAGGUAACGGCCUACCAAGGCGACGAAGAUCGGUAUCCGGCCCUGAGAGGGCGCACGGACACACUGGAACUGAAACACGGUCCAGACUCCUACGGGAGGCAGCAGUGGGGAAUUUGCGCAAUGGGGGAAAACCCUGACGCAGCAAACGCCGCGUGGAGGAUGGGUCCCUUGGGAUGUAAACUCCUUUCCGACCCGGACGAUACUGACGGUAACGGGUGGAAGAAAGCACCGGCCUAACUCUGUGCCAGAGCCGCGGGGUAAUACAGAGGGGUGCGAGCGUUGUUCGGAAUAUUGGGCGUAAAGGGCGCGUAGGCGGUGCGGUAAGUCACCUGUGAAAUCUCCUGGCUCAACUGGGAGCUUGCAGGCGGAAAAACUGCCGGUGCUGGAGUGUGGGAGAGGUGCGUGGAAUUCCCGGGUUGUAGCGGUUGAAAUGCCGUAAGAUAUCGGAGGAAACACCUGUGGGCGAAAGCGGGCCGCACUGGGACCACAACUGACGCUGAGGCCGCGAAAAGCUUAGGGGAGCAAACAGGAUUAGAUACCCUGGUAGCCCUAGCCCUAAACUAUGGAUGCUUGGUGUGAUCGGUAACCCAAUCCGAUCGUGCCGAAGCUAACGCGAUUAAGGCAAUCCCGCCUGGGGAGUACGGUCGCAAGGCUUGAAACUCAAAAGGAAUUGACGGGGGCCCGCACCAAGCCGGUGGAGCAUGUGGUUUUCAAUUCGACGCAACGCGAAAGAACCUUACCUGGGCUCGAAGCGCAGUGGAAUCCGGUGGAAAACAUCGGCGGCCCGCAAGGGGCCCGCUGCGGAGGUGCUGCAUGGCUGUCGUCAGCUCGUGUCGUGAAGGAUUGUUUGGGUUAAGUCCCGCAACGAGCGCAACCCUUAUCGUCAUUGCCACCGGGUCAAGCCGGGCACUUCUGGCGAAAAACACCGCCUCGGAUAACGGGGAGGAAGAUGGGGAUGACGUCAAGUCCUCAUGGGCCUUUAUGUCCAGGGCUACACACGUGCUACAAUGGUCCGGUACAAACCGUCGCAAACCCGCGAGGGGGGAGCUAAUCGGAAAAAGCCGGCCUCAGUUUCGGAUUGAGUCUGCAACUCGACUCCAUGAAGCUGGUGAAUCGCUUAGUAAAUCGCAGAUCAGAAACGCUGCGGUGAAUACGUUCCCGGGGCCCUUGUACACACCGCCCGUCACAUCACGAAAGUGGACUGCACUAGAAGGCCGGCGUGCCAACCGCAAGGGGGCAAGCCGUUCCAAGGUAUGGUUCAUGAUUUGGGGG
rnacentral:rRNA from 1 species